GAUGAACGCUGGCGGCGUGCUUAACACAUGCAAGUCGAACGAAGCACUUUACUUGAUCUCCUUCGGGAUUGAUUGUUCUGUGACUGAGUGGCGGACGGGUGAGUAACGCGUGGAUAACCUGCCUCACACAGGGGGAUAACAGUUGGAAACGGCUGCUAAUACCGCAUAAGCGCACAGCACCGCAUGGUGCAGUGUGAAAAACUCCGGUGGUGUGAGAUGGAUCCGCGUCUGAUUAGCUGGUUGGCGGGGUAACGGCCCACCAAGGCGACGAUCAGUAGCCGGCCUGAGAGGGCGACCGGCCACAUUGGGACUGAGACACGGCCCAGACUCCUACGGGAGGCAGCAGUGGGGAAUAUUGCACAAUGGGGGAAACCCUGAUGCAGCGACGCCGCGUGAGCGAUGAAGUAUUUCGGUAUGUAAAGCUCUAUCAGCAGGGAAGAUAAUGACGGUACCUGACUAAGAAGCUCCG
rnacentral:rRNA from 1 species